AGCAGUAGCCGCGGGAAUACGAAGGGUGCGAGCGUUAAUCGGAAUUACUGGGCGUAAAGCGUGCGUAGGCGGUGAGUUAAGUCUGCUGUGAAAUCCCCGGGCUCAACCUGGGGAUGGCAGUGGAUACUGGCUCGCUAGAGUGUGUCAGAGGAUGGUGGAAUUCCCGGUGUAGCGGUGAAAUGCGUAGAGAUCGGGAGGAACAUCAGGGCGAAGGCGGCCAUCUGGGACAACACUGACGCUGAGGCACGAAAGCGUGGGGAGCAAACAGGAUUAGAUACCCCCGUAGUCCCUGUCUCUUAUACA
rnacentral:rRNA from 1 species